rnacentral:rRNA from 1 species
UACGUAGGGUGCAAGCGUUGUCCGGCAUUAUUGGGCGUAAAGAGCGUGUAGGCGGCCCGGUAAGUCCGCUGUGAAAGUCCAGGGCUCAACCCUGGGAUGCCGGUGGAUACUGUCGGGCUCGAGUCCGGAAGAGGAGUGUGGAAUUCCUGGUGUAGCGGUGAAAUGCGCAGAUAUCAGGAGGAACACCAAUGGCGAAGGCAGCACUCUGGGACGUGACUGACGCUGAGACGCGAAAGCGUGGGGAGCAAACAGG